AAUGAACGUUGGCGGCGUGGAUUAGGCAUGCAAGUCGCGCGAGAAAUUUCCUUCGGGAAAUGGACAGCGGCGGAAGGGAGAGGAAUAAGUAGAAAUCUGCCCUCGGGACGGGGAUAGCGGUGGGAAACUGCCGGUAAUACCCGAUAACAUCUUUGGAUCAAAUGGUGUGAUUCCGCUUGAGGAUGAGUCUACUUCCUAUUAGCUAGUUGGUGGGGUAAUGGCCUACCAAGGCAACGAUGGGUAGCGGGUGUGAGAGCACGACCCGCCUCACUGGGACUGAGACACUGCCCAGACACCUACGGGUGGCUGCAGUCGAGAAUCUUCGGCAAUGGGGGAAACCCUGACCGAGCGACGCCGCGUGCGGGAUGAAGGCCCUUGGGUUGUAAACCGCUGUCGUAAGGGAACAAAUCCAUAGGGGUACUCCCCUAUGGUUGAGUGAUCUUAGGAGGAAGGACGGGCUAAGUUCGUG
rnacentral:rRNA from 1 species